GUGGGCUGGCUCACGGCUGCUGAUGGGCUCUCGGUGACUCAGCACUGCUCCAGUCGCAGGGCAGACUUCCUCCUCCCUGAAUCUGCUGGAGGAAAAUGAUGCCUUUCUCUAUAAGGAAAUCGAGACUCAGAGACGUGAAGUGACUUGGCCAUGUACACUGGCUGUAAGUGGGAAGCUGGCGCUUAAAAUCCAACUUUCCUGAUUCAAAAUUUGGUGCCCCAUCUGCUGGAAGAGCAAAGUUUAUAUGAAAAGGAAGAGACAUGGAGAAUGAGAACAUUCCUGGAAACUGAGACUCUGCCCUCCUUGACCCCCCGCCCCGGGGAAGGAUGCGAUAACCAAACUCGAACAAGGGAGAAAGCAGAGACAGCAGAGCACUGGAAGCUGCAUUGGGUAGCGUGAGCCAUAACUGUCUAGUAAUUCAGAGGACCAAGGGAUGAUGCAGAUGGAAUCAGCGGGAAAGGUGGCUUAAAGGAGGAGCAGAGGCAGAGAGACCCGUGCUAGAAUUCCAGCCCCUUUCCUUACUGUGUGUGUGACCUUGGAAACAUCACUCGACCUUUUAUGACUCAGUUUCUCCAUUAAACACAAAUCAAGUUGUGAUGGCAGCUUUAAAAGGGAUGGCAGAGGGUUUCAUAUAUAGAAAGCAUUACAAGACAGGAAAUUAAAACCAAGCUGGGGAUUCGCUCCUUGUGACAACUCUGCACUGGGGAAGCAUUUAUUUUUAGACUUUCUAAACCUUUGCAAUUUAUGUCAGAGGAUUCGGGGAAAGAGCAUAGACUUUCCCUUUGGGAUGAAAUGAGCUCCAAAGCGUGAGUCAUCCCUUGACCUGUGCGAUCUGCUUCGUAUGUUCGGAUCAAUGUUCCACAGGGCAUUUCCCUGCUUCCUGGCCAAAUUCACAGCCGGGGGAGUGGGAGAAACACUAGGGACCUCUUCCAGGAAGACCGCUGAGUAAUUGUGACCAGGUGCAUCCUGGGGUGAUGGCGGCCCUGGGAGGAGCGGCCGCCUUAGUGCAUCAGCUAAGUGCAUCCGUGAGGAUGGGGCGGUCAGAUCAGGGGACGGGGUGGGGGGAGGAAGUAAGCAGACUGUCCUGGGCACAGAACAAGGAGUCUGGGGAAUUGAGAGAUGAUUCUCAAUCCUCUCCCUAUCCUCAGGUCAUCAGAGAUUGGUACUCUGGGCUCUUCAUGGAGCUUUCGCACCCCCGGUCUAACUGUGUGACUGAUUUCUGGGGCUCUGGGGCUAAAAUGCAAUCUGCUGGUCUAGCCUGAUAUGAUCUCCAGUGCCCACCCAGCUGCUCUAAGCGAUGAGCCCACAAAACUGAACAGGUUCUUGUUAACCCAUCAGGGCUUUACACAUAGUCGUAAAACUAUGGUUCAGACCAGGUUCACAGCAGCCCUACACUCCUCUUCAUAGUGACUUAGACCCUGUUAGUAUGAAUUUGAUGUUGGCUCCAAUGACAUAUUUUUGUUCCUAGAUUCUCUGUACUACAGAGAAAAGCCAAAGUGCUACAACAGAAAAACAAAACAAAAACAAUAUUACAAAGCACUUGCCCAGUACUGCUUUUUCGUACUUAGAUCCCCGCUGCUUUAUUUGUCCUGACUGUAAAGCUCAUUGUUUUUCUUCAUUCAUUUCUGACUAGUCCCCUUUGGAUAAACUGGUGGACACUGUGGCCAUAUCUUUCAAAAGCUCUGUAAUUUUAGUUAUCCUUAAGAGACGUGCGUACUAUGAUAUUUAGAUGUUUGAAGUUAUCUAAAUUUCUUUCUUGAAGUUUCUGUAUUCCUGGAUUGUAUUAUUGUUGCUUAAUAAAGUCUUUAGCUAA